AGAAAGGUAGGUCAUGACUGGAUUUCUAAUCUAUUUCAUAGGCAGUUCGAUUCUGUUUCUUUCUC
rnacentral:tRNA from 1 species